AUCGUAUGCGCCGCGUUCGGUGCUCGCAUGCGCAUUCCGCGCAUGCAGUUAAACGGGAAACAGGAGGCGGACAUCCGCCCGGCCUGUGCUGUCCCCGCAACGGUACGCCGCCCGCGCGACGCGUUCCUGCAACGCCCGCGCCCAUGCCGCCCACGAUGCCACUGUCCGCCAGCCGGACGGGAAGGCUGCGGCCUGGCAAGCGGCCAGCCCGGAUACCGGCCGACGCAAGGGGCGAGCC
rnacentral:ncRNA from 2 species